UGGGGGAUAUUGCACAAUGGGCGAAAGCCUGAUGCAGCGACGCCGCGUGGGGGAUGAAGGCCUUCGGGUUGUAAACUUCUUUUGCUCUGAACAAGGCGCACCAUGGGGUGUGUUGAGUGUAGGGGUUGAUUAGCGCCGGCUAACUACGUGCCAGCAGCCGCGGUAAUACGUAGGGCGCGAGCGUUGUCCGGAAUUAUUGGGCGUAAAGGGCUUGUAGGUGGCUGGUUGCGUCUGUCGUGAAAGCUCAUGGCUUAACUGUGGGUUUGAGGUGGGUACGGGCUGGCUUGAGUGCAGUAGGGGAGGCUGGAAUUCCUGGUGUAGCGGUGGAAUGCGCAGAUAUCAGGAGGAAUACCGGUGGCGAAGGCGGGUCUCUGGGCUGUUACUGACACUGAGGAGCGAAAGCAUGGGGAGCGAACAGG
rnacentral:rRNA from 1 species